AUUGAACGCUGGCGGCAGGCCUAACACAUGCAAGUCGAGCGGCAGCGGGAAAGUAGCUUGCUACUUUUGCCGGCGAGCGGCGGACGGGUGAGUAAUGCCUGGGAAAUUGCCCAGUCGAGGGGGAUAACAGUUGGAAACGACCGCUAAUACCGCAUACGCCCUACGGGGGACAGCAGGGGACCUUCGGGCCUUGCGCGAUUGGAUAUGCCCAGGUGGGAUUAGCUAGUUGGUGAGGUAAUGGCUCACCAAGGCGACGAUCCCUAGCUGGUCUGAGAGGAUGAUCAGCCACACUGGAACUGAGACACGGUCCAGACUCCUACGGGAGGCAGCAGUGGGGAAUAUUGCACAAUGGGGGAAACCCUGAUGCAGCCAUGCCGCGUGUGUGAAGAAGGCCUUCGGGUUGUAAAGCACUUUCAGCGAGGAGGAAAGGUCAGUAGCUAAUAUCUGCUGGCUGUGACGUUACUCGCAGAAGAAGCACCGGCUAACUCCGUGCCAGCCGCCGCCGUAAAAC
rnacentral:rRNA from 1 species